UUAGUGUUAGUGGAAGCGUCUGGAAAGGCGCGCGAUACAGGGUGACAGCCCCGUACACAAAAGCGCAUGUGCUGUGAGCUCGAUGAGUAGGGCGGGACACGUGGUAUCCUGUCUGAAUAUGGGGGGACCAUCCUCCAAGGCUAAAUACUCCUGACUGACCGAUAGUGAACCAGUACCGUGAGGGAAAGGCGAAAAGAACCCCGGCGAGGGGAGUGAAAAAGAACCUGAAACCGUGUACGUACAAGCAGUGGGAGCCCCACCACUAAGCCAGUGGUGAACUCCACAUACGCAUCCUUUGCUGAGGAUACGGUUAACGGAGCGAAAGCGACGUUCAACCUCAAAAGAAGCAGAGGGGGCUUAGUGGUGGGGUGACUGCGUACCUUUUGUAUAAUGGGUCAGCGACUUAUAUUCUGUAGCAAGGUUAACCGAAUAGGGGAGCCGGAGGGAAACCGAGUCUUAAUUGGGCGUUAAGUUGCAGGGUAUAGACCCGAAACCCGGUGAUCUAGCCAUGGGCAGGUUGAAGGUUGGGUAACACUAACUGGAGGACCGAACCGACUAAUGUUGAAAAAUUAGCGGAUGACCUGUGGCUGGGGGUGAAAGGCCAAUCAAAC
rnacentral:rRNA from 1 species